rnacentral:rRNA from 1 species
UACGAAGGGGCUAGCGUUGCUCGGAAUCACUGGGCGUAAAGCGCACGUAGGCGGACUCUUAAGUCAGGGGUGAAAUCCUGGAGCUCAACUCCAGAACUGCCUUUGAUACUGGGAGUCUUGAGUUCGGGAGAGGUGAGUGGAACUGCGAGUGUAGAGGUGAAAUUCGUAGAUAUUCGCAAGAACACCAGUGGCGAAGGCGGCUCACUGGCCCCGAUACUGACGCUGAGGUGCGCAA